rnacentral:tRNA from 1 species
GUGGCUGUAGCUCAGUCGGUUCAGAGCGCCGGGUCGUGGCCCCGGAGGUCGCCGGUUCGAAUCCGGUCAGUCACCC